UGGCGGACGGGCGAGUAACGCGUGAGCAACCUGCCCUAUGCAGGGGGAUAACACCGGGAAACUGGUGCUAAUACCGCAUAAGACCACACUGGCACAUGUCAGAGUGGUAAAAGCUCCGGCGGCAUAGGAUGGGCUCGCGUCCAAUUAGCUUGUUGGUAGGGUAACGGCCUACCAAGGCGACGAUUGGUAGCCGAACUGAGAGGUUGGUCGGCCGCAUUGGGACUGAGACACGGCCCAGACUCCUACGGGAGGCAGCAGUGGGGAAUAUUGCGCAAUGGGGGAAACCCUGACGCAGCGACGCCGCGUGAAGGAAGAAGGCCUUCGGGUUGUAAACUUCUUUGGUCGGGGACGAAGAUGACGGUACCCGAAUAACAAGCCACGGCUAACUACGUGCCAGCAGCCGCGGUAAUACGUAGGUGGCGAGCGUUGUCCGGAAUUACUGGGUGUA
rnacentral:rRNA from 1 species